rnacentral:rRNA from 1 species
GAUGAACGCUAGCGGCAGGCUUAAUACAUGCAAGUCGAGGGGUAGCAAGAUUGUAGCAAUACAAUUGUUGACGACCGGCAAACGGGUGCGGAACACGUACACAACCUUCCUACAAGUGGGGAAUAGCCCAGAGCAAUUUGGAUUAAUACCCCGCAACAUAGCGAUGUGGCAUCACAUUGCUAUUAUAGCUUCGGCGCUUGUUGAUGGGUGUGCGGCUGGUUAGCUAGUUGGCGGGGUAACGGCCCACCAAGUCUACGAUCAGUAGCUGAUGUAAGGGCAUGAUCAGCAACACAGGCACUGAGACACGGGCGCGACUCCUACGGGAGGCAGAAGUAAGGAAUAUUGGACAAUGGACGCAAGUCUGAUCCAGCCAUGCCGCGUGAAGGAUUAAGGUCCUCUGGAUUGUAAUCUUCUUUUAUAAGGGACGAAAAAAGGUCUUUCUAGAUCGUCUGACGGUACCUUAUGAAUAAGCACCGGCUAACUCCGUGCCAGCCGCCGCCGUAA